GGAGCUUGACAGGCAGCACAUCAGAAACAAUCUGUCAACAACAGCUUUUAAACUCUUGAUUGUUGCUGCAUUACAACAUCUGCUUGUUUCAGUAUUAGCUAUGCAGAUCUUCAUGUUAGUGGUUUUAUUCACCGGGUUUAUUGGUUAUCAGCAAUCCAUCCACUCAAUCCAGGACAGUCCAGUCCAGGCUCUACAAGGAGACGGCGUGACUCUCUCCUGCAACUACUCUUCAGCAACAUACUUCUUCUGGUAUCGGCAGUACCCCAGCUCACCUCCCAAGUUCCUUAUCAAAGAAUACAUGGAGCUAUCUGGAUUUACCUUGAAAAAGGACAGUGAUAAAAAAAUGAUGUUCCAUCUCGAGAUCUCCGCUGCUGAAGUGACAGACUCUGCUCUGUACUACUGUGCUGUAUACAUUCACAGGUGUUUAUAGUGAGGUUCUCACUCCUGUCAAAAAGGAAGAGAACGGUUUAGAAGGUACGACCGUUACUCUGUCUUACAGGCUCUCUAGAGAUGCUACUCCUGGCGAUGAUUUAUUCUGGUACCAUCAGCAAUC